rnacentral:rRNA from 1 species
AGUGAACGCUGGCGGUAGGCCUAACACAUGCAAGUCGAACGGCAGCACAGUAAGAGCUUGCUCUUACGGGUGGCGAGUGGCGGACGGGUGAGGAAUACAUCGGAAUCUACUUUUUCGUGGGGGAUAACGUAGGGAAACUUACGCUAAUACCGCAUACGACCUACGGGUGAAAGCAGGGGAUCUUCGGACCUUGCGCGAUUGAAUGAGCCGAUGUCGGAUUAGAUAGUUGGCGGGGUAAAUGCCCACCAAGGCGACGAUCCGUAGCUGGUCUGAGAGGAUGAUCAGCCACACUGGAACUGAGACACGGUCCAGACGCCUACGGGAGGCAGCAGUGGGGAACAUUGGACAAAGGGCGCAAGCAUGAUCCAGCCAUACCGCGUGGGUGAAGAAGGCCUUCGGGUUGUAAAGCCCUUUUGUUGGGAAAGAAAAGCAGCAGGUUAAUACCCCGCUGUUCUGACGGUACCCAAAGAAUAAGCACCGGCUAACUUCGUG